rnacentral:rRNA from 1 species
CCUACGGGGGGCUGUAGUGGGGAAUAUUGCGCAAUGGGCGUAAGCCUGAACCAGCCAAGUCGCGUGAGGGAUGAAGGUUCUAUGGAUCGUAAACCUCUUUUAUAAGGGAAUAAAGUGUGGGACGUGUCCUAUUUUGUAUGUACCUUAUGAAUAAGGAUCGGCUAACUCCGUGCCAGCAGCCGCGGUAAUACGGAGGAUCCGAGCGUUAUCCGGAUUUAUUGGGUUUAAAGGGUGCGUAGGCGGCCUUUUAAGUCAGCGGUGAAAGUCUGUGGCUCAACCAUAGAAUUGCCGUUGACACUGGGGGGCUUGAGUAUGUUUGAGGCAGGCGGAAUGCGUGGUGUAGCGGUGAAAUGCUUAGAUAUCACGCAGAACCCCGAUUGCGAAGGCAGCCUGCCAAGCCAUGACUGACGCUGAUGCACGAAAGCGUGGGGAUCAAACAGGAUUAGAUACCCUAGUAGUC